rnacentral:misc_RNA from 1 species
UACUCUACUUCCUUAAUCAUAAUAGGCAAUUUGUCAUAGAUUUGGGGAUGAUGGGCUGGAGGAAAUAGUGGAGGAAUUCAUGAAAUUAGGGUGAGAAGGGACUAUAGAGGAAUAUCAAGAUGGAUUUGAAGAUUUGAGGAUAAGGAUGGAAGAUUACUGCUAGAUUUGGAGGAAUCUUAUUUCUUGUCAGGGUUUAUUGGGGGAUUGAAGGAUGAAAUAAGGUUGAUGAAGCCAGUGACUCUUGCUCAGGUUGUGGAGAUUGUGUUACAUAAUAGUCUGCACACUUAGUGAAAUAGAGGA